rnacentral:rRNA from 1 species
GACGAACGCUGGCGGCGUGCUUAACACAUGCAAGUCGAACGGAAAGGCCCCUUUGGGGGUACUCGAGUGGCGCACGGGUGAGUAACACGUGAGUAACCUGCCCUUGACUUCGGGAUAACUUCAGGAAACUGGGGCUAAUACCGGAUAGGAAUCCUUGCUGCAUGGUGGGGGUUGGAAAGCUUCGGCGGUUUUGGAUGGACUCGCGGCUUAUCAGCUUGUUGGUGGGGUAGUGGCUUACCAAGGCUUUGACGGGUAGCCGGCCUGAGAGGGCGACCGGCCACAUUGGGACUGAGAUACGGCCCAGACUCCUACGGGAGGCAGCAGUGGGGAAUAUUGCACAAUGGGCGGAAGUCUGAUGCAGCAACGCCGCGUGCGGGAUGACGGCCUUCGGGUUGGAAACCGCUUUCAGCAGGGGCGAAGCUUGUGGUGACGGUACCUGCAGAAGAAGCACCGGCUAACUACGUG